rnacentral:rRNA from 1 species
CCCUUAGAUGUUCUGGGCCGCACGCGCGCUACACUGAUUCAUGCAACAAGUUUUGUCCUUGGCUGAUAGGCCUGGGUAAUCUUUGAACGUGAAUCGUGAUGGGGAUAGAUGAUUGCAAUUAUUCAUCUUCAACGAGGAAUUCCUAGUAAACGCAAGUCAUCAGCUUGCAUUGAUUACGUCCCUGCCCUUUGUACACACCGCCCGUCGCACCUACCGAUUGAAUGGUCCGGUGAAAUCUUCGGAUCUGAGAGAUGUCUGAUUAAUUUCGGACGCCUUUUGGAAAAGUUGCUUAAACCUUAACAUUUAGAGGAAGGUGAAGUCGUAACA